GACGAACGCUGGCGGCGUGCUUAACACAUGCAAGUCGAGCGGUAAGGCCCUUCGGGGUACACGAGCGGCGAACGGGUGAGUAACACGCGGGUGAUCUACCCUGUACUUCGGGAUAAGCCUGGGAAACUGGGUCUAAUACCGGAUAUGACCUUCCGAUGCAUGUCGGUGGGUGGAAAGAUUUAUCGGUACAGGAUGGGCCCGCGGCCUAUCAGCUUGUUGGUGGGGUAAUGGCCUACCAAGGCGACGACGGGUAGCCGGCCUGAGAGGGCGACCGGCCACACUGGGACUGAGACACGGCCCAGACUCCUACGGGAGGCAGCAGUGGGGGAUAUUGCACAAUGGGCGAAAGCCUGAUGCAGCGACGCCGCGUGAGGGAUGACGGCCUUCGGGUUGUAAACCUCUUUCGACAGGGACGAAGCGCAAGUGACGGUACCUGUAGAAGAAGCACCGGCCAACUACGUGCCAGCCGCCGCCGUAAAAC
rnacentral:rRNA from 1 species